rnacentral:rRNA from 1 species
CGCCUGUUUAUCAAAAACAUCUCUUCUCGUUAGUUUUUGAAGUAUGGCCUGCCCACUGACCUUGAAUGUUGAAGGGCCGCGGUAUUUUGACCGUGCAAAGGUAGCAUAGUCAUUAGUUCUUUAAUUGUGAUCUGGUAUGAAUGGCUUGACGAGGUAUAAGCUGUCUUAAUUUUGAAUUGUUUAUUGAAUUUGUUCUUUGAGUUAAAAUUCUUAGAUGUUUUUAUGGGACGAGAAGACCCUAUAGAGUUUGACAUUUAUUAUGGUCUUUUUCUGUUUGUGAGGGUUCACUAGGGCUGUUUAAUAUGUUUUGUUGGGGUGAUGGGAGGGAUAUUAUUUAACCCCUCCUUUGUGUUGUUAUAUUUAUUUAUAUUUGCUUGAUCCAUUUAUUUUGAUUGUAAGAUUAAAUUACCUUAGGGAUAACAGCGUAA